rnacentral:rRNA from 1 species
AGCGCAGGCGGGCCGGUUAGUCUAAAGUGGAAUCCCAGGGCCCAACCCUGGACGUGCUUUGGAUACUGCCGGUCUUGAGUUCGUGAGAGGAAAGUGGAAUUCAGGGUGUAGCGGUGAAAUGCUUAGAUAUCCUGAGGAACACCAGUGGCGAAAGCGACUUUCUGGCACGAAACUGACGCUGAGGCUCGAAAGCAUGGGUAGCGAACGG